rnacentral:rRNA from 1 species
AACCCUGGUGGCGAGUGGCGAACGGGUGAGUAAUAUAUCGGAACGUACCCGGAAAUGGGGGAUAACGUAGCGAAAGUUACGCUAAUACCGCAUAUGCCCUAAGGGGGAAAGCGGGGGAUUCGCAAGAACCUCGCGUUUUCGGAGCGGCCGAUAUCGGAUUAGCUAGUAGGUGAGGUAAAAGCUCACCUAGGCGACGAUCCGUAGCUGGUCUGAGAGGACGACCAGCCACACUGGAACUGAGACACGGUCCAGACUCCUACGGGAGGCAGCAGUGGGGAAUUUUGGACAAUGGGCGCAAGCCUGAUCCAGCCAUGCCGCGUGAGUGAAGAAGGCCUUCGGGUUGUAAAGCUCUUUCAGCCGGAAAGAAAACGCACGGGCUAAUACCCUGUGUGGAUGACGGUACCGGAAGAAGAAGCACCGGCUAACUACGUGCCAGCAGCCGCGGUAAUACGUAGGGUGCGAGCGUUAAUCGGAAUUACUGGGCGUAAAGCGUGCGCAGGCGGUUUUGUAAGACAGAUGUGAAAUCCCCGGGCUUAACCUGGGAACUGCAUUUGUAACUGCAAGGCUAGGGUACGGCAGAGGGGGGUAGAAUUCCACGUGUAGCAGUGAAAUGCGUAGAUAUGUGGAGGAAUACCGAUGGCGAAAGCAGCCCCUGGGUCGAUACUGACGCUCAUGCACGA